UUUAUUAAUAGCACGGAACUAAAUUCGUUUCUUUUUUUUUACAUUGAUUUAAUAACGUAUUCGUUUUCGAAAUUUCGAAAGAGAUUUAAGGAUAAUCGAUCGAUAGUUCCAGGAUUUUAGAAGUAAACUUAACUUGUUAACGCUUAGAAUUAACAAGCUUUCGAGUUUUUUGCUGUUUUUCUCGCUUUCUGACUAGCAUUUCUAUUUACCCGUAAGUUGUGGAAAGGUCAAAACGAAGGUGGCAAAUUGUUUAAUCGGUGGCUGGCCACGUCCAGUAAACAAACAAAAUGAAAGUUCCCAGAUAUCCAGCGUCGGCUUGUAAAUCUACAGCGAUAAGCGUAGGAAAGUUAAUGCUCGGAAAAUAAGAAUCCGCGUUGUUAGCCACCAUGGCAAGAGAGAGAGAGAGGUUAGUGGGAUGGUGGAAUUUCUGCUUUAUGGUAAAGAAGCGUCACGCUAGAUUAAACUAUAUUGUGUCGGCGGUGGCCAUGUUUGGAAAUGAAUGCUGUCGAAGCUGUUUAUCCAGCUGAGGUUUAUUAUUGUAAGGCGAUGGAUGCGCGGUUUCUUCCAGUCUGAUGAAAUUCUCUACCAGAAGACAAUUUUCUUUCUACGCGAUUGAUGCGAAAUUCGAAGAGUCGACCCUCUCCUCCCCCCUAAUAAAUGUCGACAGAUAAAUUCGCGUUGUUAUCGCCACCAGAACAAGAAGUUUGGUUAGCGUAGUAGGGAAUUGUUGCAUGCGAAACGGGAAGAAAAAUGAUAAAUUAUUGAAUUCACGUUGGGUAAGAACGUCACGUCUCGGUCUUAAUUUAUCAAUUCGGAAGCACUUAAAGCGGAGUGACACUGUUCAUUAUAUUCUUGCUAUACCCGGCUUUGAUUUAUUUCCAAACCCACAAAACCGUUAUGUUGUAAUCGAUGUCAAGAGCGAUAGGCCGAUCUUGUAACGCUGAUGGCAUUUCGCAGUCUGACAGUGUUUCAAAACAUGUUGAACAGAUAAAGUGGAUGAGAAAUAGUCGGCUUAUAGCCACUGUCAUUGAUUUUAUAAUUGUGUUUCCACUAAUUAACGACCUUAAUAUAAUUCCGUUUUAAACUUGGCACCGUUAAAAUCAGGAGGGUUUUAUAAAUCCAUUAAUAUCUAAAUAAUAGCGACAAAUGACCGCAUAAAUGCAGUUCGACUCCAUAUUUUAAAUUCUCCUCCACGCUGCUUGAAAACUUUAAUACCGACGCAUUAUCCUUGCCUCUUUUUUUCCUUUUAUUGGAAUGCCUGUCCUGCUAGGAGCUUUUAAACUGCGUCGAAUCUUUAUUUAGACCUAUUUGUGUGAGCCGACUCGGAGUAAAGGUUGUCGACAAUAUUUAUAGACCUAGAAGUCUUUUUUAAAAUUCCGUUAAAACUCGUUUGUUUGACUUUAAUCGACUUGGUGUGCCCGUUAUGCGUUAAGAAAACGGCCGAAGCGGAUCUCGACAUCGAAUUGGCGCGCUAAAAAUGCACCAGUUUUUUUGUUGCGUGCCGCAAUCGUUCGCGUUUUCUACUAAUUGCUUAAUCGGAUAUUUUAUUCUUUCCAAUCAGUUUUUGCAAUUCCCUGUUGGCACUUUAAGCUGGAUUGCCGUGCAAAAAUCCGUUACUUAAUUUGUUGCUGGUGUAAUUCUUAUUCCCGUUACGAAUCGCUGGCGAAUGAACGAGCGAGAGAGAGAUUAUUUUUUUUAUGUAGAGAAAGAGAAGGCUCGAGUUUGGCACCGGGACACUCUUACAGAAUUUACUGUAUCAGUUAUCCUUAAAUGUAAAUCGAUACGUGAUACGAUAAUUCCUGGUGACAUUCUGAGUUCAUUAAUUAAUAACUUUAUUCCCGAUAAUCCCUUUACUUUCGAUGAGAACAAUUAAUUUCGUGCAUCUGCUUUGUUGUAGGCUUUGUACAAUUGUUAUUGAUUUUGCUGUUGGUGAUGCAAUCUGUUUAAAAAAAUGUAUUUUUUUUUUUUUUUUAAAGAAAUUUAUGCUCAGUAGAUGGGAAAGCAUAGUUAGUGCAUCUGUAUGCUGCACGUGUUGAAUGAAUGAAGAGUGGUCUUCGUUAGCUACUGACUUGUCGUUGGCAUCUCUAUAAAAUAAAAUUAAGACGUAAUACUUGUAAUAAGUGACGCAGUCGAUUGUUUAACUUCCAUCGUUAAAGGCUGUUAGGUGUAAACCUUGAUUGAUUUUCCAAAAAUAGCGUUCGAGAUGCGACUAAAAAAAAUCGAAUUUAACCGGCGAUAAAAUUGUUAAAAUUAGGAAGAACGUCUCUCGUUUGGUUUUUUUUUUUUUCGUGCGGCGGCGAUAAAACUGGAAAAUAUCCGACGGCGAUGGUAAAAUUUAAUGUAAAAACGGGAUAUAAUUUGUUUACCAAAUUAGUUUUUAAUGUUUUUUUUUUUUUACAAACGUAUUUUGCACGUUUGGGAUAUCUUCCGACGCGUCGGGGCGACGAAAGGACGUUAUGAUAUUUGUUAAUGUAAUACAAAUAACUUAAAUGACAGCGAAGUUGAGCGAUUUUACAGGAAGAAGAGAAGUUAAAACGGUUGCUCGGCUUUUAUUAAUAAGCGAUAUUUGCCGGUCGGAAGUGGAAGUUUCUUGAUAUUAAAUGUAUUAUUCACGCCUCCAAUCCCAUUACUUACUUCAUUUUGUGGAAAGCUACAACGGUCAUUGUUAUUCCGCUCGCCGGCUCGGAAUCGCUGGAUAUUUUGGAAAUUAAAAGUCGCUAUUUGCUUCUAACUACACAUUUGCAUUUUUGUAAAUAACGGCCACGGUACCAAAUAUAAUAGAGCGGAAAGUGUCCAGAAUUACUGAGGAUAGAAAAAUCUUUGAUCGAUUAAGACUCCAACUUUAGCCGAAAAAAAUUGAUGAAGAUUUAAAUGUUUUUAAUUGUUUCCUAUUAACGAACGAGACUGUUUUCCAGAUAAAUUUACAAGUCGGCAUUUAAGGAAUGAGUUUUUUUUUUUUUUUAGUAUCAGCCUGGUCUGAAAGGGGAAAAAAAGAAUAGAGAAGGGGAUGCGACAUUAACGCCUUUCCGACCGCGCUACAGAUGAUUUGAACUAACGAGUUACUUUGACGCUUAUUACUUUUUAUCGGUUUAAAUGAGGAAUGGCGUCGGCAACGAUUUACCUGACAGAAUAGAGCGGAAUGAGAUGACGGCCAUUUAUCAAUGUUAGCUUCGAUAUUAACGCCACGCAAAUUUUAAUCUCUUCGAAUAAAUUAUAGGAGACGGCCGAUUUUUAUUUAACCGGACGCCCAAAAUCCGGAUAAUCGAAAUAAACCUUAACAGCCAGGCCAACUAAGUUUAACCCCCCGAAUUCGUAUCCACUAUUUAUUACGCCAAUUCUGUUUUUUUAAGGGAAAAUUUUCCUGUUAAAUUUUAUCGUAGGAUCCGAUAGUUUUUUUUAUUCUUGUUUUUGUAAGUUAUGGAAAGGGAUAUCCGAAAUAAAUCUCAUUUUAAGGCCUCUGUAGCGUGUAAAAUUGAUAGAUAUUGAUUGUUAUCCGAUUUUCAACCGGUGAAUGAUCCGACUGUAAAAUAAGUUACGUUAGUUUUAGUAGAAGCACUAAAGAAAAAGUUUUGGGAAGAGUAGUAGUUUCGUCGAUAGCGUGUGUUCAGUCGAUGGGUAGUGCCACUGGGACGCAUUCGAUUCGUAUUUGAAUCCUAUUCUUAUAUUUUUCCGCUCGACAACUCUUCUCUAUAUAUAUAUAACUGAUCAAUGCCGAGGAUUAGAUCAACCAGUCCAGAGAUUUUUUUUUCUCCCGCAC
rnacentral:lncRNA from 1 species